rnacentral:rRNA from 1 species
GACGAACGCUGGCGGCGUGCUUAACACAUGCAAGUCGAACGGAAAGGCCCUGCUUGCAGGGUGCUCGAGUGGCGAACGGGUGAGUAACACGUGGGUGAUCUGCCCCUUACUUUGGGAUAAGCCUGGGAAACUGGGUCUAAUACUGGAUAGGACCAUGCUGUAGGUGGUGUGGUGGAAAGAUUAGUUUCGGUAAGGGAUGAGCUCGCGGCCUAUCAGCGUGUUGGUGGGGUAAUGGCCUACCAAGGCGUCGACGGGUAGCCGGCCUGAGAGGGUGGGCGGCCACAUUGGGACUGAGAUGCGGCCCAGACGCCUACGGGAGGCAGCAGUGGGGAAUAUUGCACAAUGGGCGCAAGCCUGAUGCAGCGACGCCGCGUGGGGGAUGACGGCCUUCGGGUUGUAAACUCCUUUCAGCCAUGACGAAGCCCUUGUGGUGACGGUAGUGGUAGAAGAAGCACCGGCUAACUACGUG